CAAGUCGAGCGGGAUUGGGGCAGCAAUGUCCCAUGAGAGCGGCGCACGGGUGAGUAACGCGUACACGACCUACCUUUGACUGGGGGAUAGCCCUGGGAAACUGGGAUUAAUACCGCAUAUAAUUCUGAUAAAUAAAGAGUCGGAAUGAAAGUUCAGGCGGUCAAAGAUGGGUGUGCGUCUGAUUAGCUAGUUGGUAGGGUAACGGCCUACCAAGGCGAUGAUCAGUAGGGGGCGUGAGAGCGUGGUCCCCCACACGGGUACUGAGACACGGACCCGACUCCUACGGGAGGCAGCAGUAAGGAAUAUUGGACAAUGGCCGCAAGGCUGAUCCAGCCAUCCAGCGUGCAGGAAGAAGGCCCUAUGGGUUGUAAACUGCUUUUAUCAGGGAAGAAACCUCUCGAUUCAUCGGGAGCUGACGGUACCUGAAGAAUAAGCACCGGCUAACUCCGUGCCAGCAGCCGCGGUAAUACGGAGGGUGCGAGCGUUAUCCGGAAUUACUGGGUUUAAAGGGUGCGUAGGCGGCUAUGUAAGUCAGAUAGUGAAAGUUUGCGGCUCAACCGUAAAAUUGCUUUUGAUACUGCAUAGCUAGAAUUAGGAUGAGGUCAGCGGAAUGUGGCAUGUAGCGGUGAAAUGCAUAGAUAUGCCAUAGAACACCAAUUGCGAAGGCAGCUGGCUAGACCUGGAUUGACGCUGAGGCACGAAAGCGUGGGGAUCGAACAGGAUUAGAUACCCUGGUAGUCCACGCCCUAAACGAUGCUCACUCGACGUAUGAUGCUUGACAUUGUGCGUCCAAGGGAAACCGUUAAGUGAGCCACCUGGGGAGUACGACCGCAAGGUUGAAACUCAAAGGA
rnacentral:rRNA from 1 species